UAGGGAAUCUUCCGCAAUGGGCGAAAGCCUGACGGAGCAACGCCGCGUUAGUGAUGAAGGUCUUCGGAUCGUAAAACUCUGUUAUUAGGGAAGAACAAAUGUGUAAGUAACUAUGCACGUCUUGACGGUACCUAAUCAGAAAGCCACGGCUAACUACGUGCCAGCAGCCGCGGUAAUACGUAGGUGGCAAGCGUUAUCCGGAAUUAUUGGGCGUAAAGCGCGCGUAGGCGGUGUUUUAAGUCUGAUGUGAAAGCCCACGGCUCAACCGUGGAGGGUCAUUGGAAACUGGAAAACUUGAGUGCAGAAGAGGAAAGUGGAAUUCCAUGUGUAGCGGUGAAAUGCGCAGAGAUAUGGAGGAACACCAGUGGCGAAGGCGACUUUCUGGUCUGUAACUGACGCUGAUGUGCGAAAGCGUGGGGAUCAAACAGG
rnacentral:rRNA from 1 species